UUUUAGGCAUGGUGUAUGU
rnacentral:piRNA from 1 species